CUUAGAAACAAAGAAUUUACUGGCUUAAAAUUGUUCUACAGAGCCGGCCAUUUCAGGAACAGUUUAGCAAGGGAUGCAACCAGCUACAACGAAGUCUUGCUUCCCGCCCUCUGGCUUCUCUACUAAUCUGGGCAGUCCCACUGACAUACAACUGAAAGGGAAAUGCUCCUCACCACUUCAAAGUUCUGGAGAGCUCAGUCAACUCAUCCUGAAGUCCCACAUAGUGGGGCUGAAGAGAUAGCUCAGUGACUAAGAGUGAAAAGCCACAUGAAAACCAACUAUUGUAGAUGCUUCCUAAAAUAUACACAUGUGAAAGGAAUUAAAAUGGAAUUAUCUUAUAAUGCCCCAACCAGACAUGUCGCCAAGCAAAACCUCCAGUGGCAGGAAAACAGCUUUUUAGCUCUUGGCCAAAGGGGUCUCGUAGACACCCCUCCCAAACCUCACAGGCCAAGACUAUUUGCCACUCUCCACCUGAGGAAAAAACCUAAGGCUCUAUUGCUGAGGACACUAACUAUGUCAUCUUGAAGAGACACAAUACUGACAAGAAGAAACUGAACUGAUGCCCAACUAGAAGCUCCACCUAGUGACUAGUGUUGUGGGUGCUGAAAGGUGAUAGGUACUCUGCAUUGCCAGAGGAGAAAGGAGUAGUAUCACCCAACGGCAAGCAUGGCGACCCCCAAUAGGACCUGCAAGAUGGACUGGUGCAGCAGUGGCACAAAUGUCAUGGGAGUGAGCAUUUUUUUAAAAUCUCAUUGUGUGUGCAUUAACACGUGAAGUCAAAGGACAGCUCUGUGCAGCUCUUUUCCUUCCACCAUGCAGGUCACAGGUGUUAAGCACUGGCCACCUGUCUUCUGUACCUAAGCCAUCUACAAAGCAUCAACCACAUUUCAGUUAGAUUUAAGGCCCAAUCCAUACCUGGCACUGCAAAAGUAACCAAGAACCUGAGACUAAUCAAGAACCAAGACUAUACUAAGCCAUGGUAUAGGGAAAAACAUGUUUUUCCAAGAUAACUCCUGAUGACAUAUUGUUAUACUCCUAGAGCACUACUGUAUUGCUCAACCCCUCAUCAGAGCAGCUCUUUUCAAUGGAUGAUAAUUAACAGGGACCCACAACUGGUCAGUGUGCAGAGUGGAAGACUUCAGAGCACUCAAUCCUAAAUGAUAUGACAUUAAAACACUUCCCUAAAGGCUCUGCAAUCUACACAGAAUUUAAGAGCUGGUGGUGGUAGACGACUCCCAAGAAACGGUCUUCCAGAUACAAAAGGCUUGAAACACAUGAACUCAGGGACUGGUUCAGGCACAGGUUCAAACCAAAGUCCCAUCACUGAAAGGGGGAGGCAGCCAUUAACCAGGAAGCUAUUUGCAAUUGAACCACAUUGGGAAAGGGAAAAUCAGUCCUUUUUCUCCAAUAAGAGUGCCACUGGGUAUAUCAACCACAUGCCCAGUAGUUAGGCCCAAACAAAAUGCAUUCCUUUUAGCAGGCACAUUUUAGUUAUUGGAGUUUUUGAUUUUUGUUUCAUUUUUGGGAGAAAGAACUCGGGUGAGUAGGGAGGAUCUGGCUAACAUUGGGGGACUGGAAAAAUACGACCAAAAUAUAUUGUACAGAGCUCCCUUCUGAGUGCCCAUGUCAGGUUGCUCUGCCAAAGGGCACCUGCAUUUUUACGCACAAGCUCAUAAUCUUAAAAAAAAAAAAAAGUUCACACACAAAAAAAGGCCUCACACACCUCCCUGACUGACCCUAGAUCAGUUUCCAUUAAGUCUUUGCAUCUGAAUGAGAAGUGUUUUGAGAGUUCUGCUGAAAAAAUCAGUAUGAACUCUCCUGAGGAAGAGUGUAACUCUAGCAAGCACUGACAUCACUGCCAUGGUAGUAUUCUUAGCUAAUUAAUGAAGAACAUGCACGAAAGAAACAUGUUUUUCAGAGACAGGGACAUAAUUCACAGGUAGAAUGCUUGCCUAAAAUAUAUACAGCCUGUACCUCAAUUCCUAGGACAGCAAAAAAGAAAGCAGCUUUCAAAAUAUUUGAGUUUAUCUGGUAACCUUGUUUGUUUCCAAUUUGUUCAGUCCUCCUUCAGGAAACAUACUACUGACUUGGGUGGAGGCGGGGUAGGGGGCACAAGAUGAAAACCCUACAGAGGUCCAUUAACCUCUGAAUGUCUAGGUAUUCUGCAUCCUGCUUCAAGGUGCUGAAAGAGGUAGCAUUCCCUGUAAAACCAUUCACAAUGAGGUUAAGUACGAUCCCACCACUUACUAGCUCCAUAACUUGGUCAAAGCUUUGCAAUGCAUAAACAGCUCCUAUCCCAUAG
rnacentral:lncRNA from 1 species